GCGUUGAAAAGCUCGGGGAUGACUUGUGGGUAGCGGUGAAAUUCCAAUCGAGCCCGGAGAUAGCUGGUUCUCCCCGAAAUAGCUUUAGGGCUAGCCUCAAGGUGAGAGAUACGGAGGUAGAGCACUGAAUGUCCUAGGGGGUAUUGCACCUACCGAAGACUAUCAAACUCCGAAUGCCGUCAUCUUAUACUUGGGAGUCAGACUGUGGGUGAUAAGAUUCAUAGUCGAAAGGGCAACAGCCCAGAUCGUCAGCUAAGGUCCCUAAAUGUAAGUUAAGUGGUAAAGGAUGUGGGAUUGCACAGACAACCAGGAUGUUGGCUUAGAAGCAGCCACUCAUUCAAAGAGUGCGUAAUAGCUCACUGGUCGAGUGAUCCUGCGCCGAAGAUUUCCGGGGCUAAAACUUACUACCGAAGCUACGGCAUCAGUAAUGAUGGGUAGGGGAGCUUCCCAUACGGGUUGAAGCAUGACCGUAAGGACAUGUGGACAGUAUGGGAGGGAGAAUGUUGGCAUGAGUAGCGAGAUGUGGGUGAGAAUCCCACAGGCCGUAAACCCAAGGUUUCCAGGGGAAGGUUCGUCCGCCCUGGGUUAGUCGGGACCUAAGCUGAGGCCGAAAGGCGUAGGUGAUGGACAACAGGUUGAUAUUCCUGUACUACCGAUAACCGUUUGAGAGAAGGGAUGACACAGUAGGAUAAGCUAAGCACACUGUUGGUUAUGUGUGCCCAAGCAUUGAGGCAGUCAAAGUAGG
rnacentral:rRNA from 1 species